AUUGAACGCUGGCGGCAGGCCUAACACAUGCAAGUCGAGCGAGCGGCGAACGGGUGAGUAAAGCCUAGGAACUGCCUGGUAGUGGGGGAUAACGUCCGGAAACGGUCGCUAAUACCGCAUACUAUCGGAUAACCCAUAUGGGAUUAGCUAGUAGGUGAGGUAAUGGCUCACCUAGGCGACGAUCCCUAGCAGGUCUGCGCGGAUGAUCAGCCAAACUGGGACUGAGACAAGGCCCAGACUCCUACGGAGGCAGCAGUGGGGAAUAUUGCACAAUGGGCGCAAGCCUGAUGCAGCCAUGCGGCGUGUAUGAAGAAGGCCCUAGGGUUGUAAAGUACUUUCAGUCGGGAGGCGUUACCGACAGAAGAAGCACCGGCUAACUCCGUGCCAGCAGCCGCGGUAAUAC
rnacentral:rRNA from 1 species